rnacentral:rRNA from 1 species
AGUGAACGCUGGCGGUAGGCCUAACACAUGCAAGUCGAACGGCAGCACAGGAGAGCUUGCUCUCUGGGUGGCGAGUGGCGGACGGGUGAGGAAUACAUCGGAAUCUACUCUGUCGUGGGGGAUAACGUAGGGAAACUUACGCUAACACCGCAUACGACCUACGGGUGAAAGCAGGGGACCUUCGGGCCUUGCGCGAUGGAAUGAGCCGAUGUCGGAUUAGCUAGUUGGCGGGGUAAAGGCCCACCAAGGCGACAAUCCGUAGCUGGUCUGAGAGGAUGAUCAGCCACACUGGAACUGAGACACGGUCCAGACUCCUACGGGAGGCAGCAGUGGGGAAUAUUGGACAAUGGGCGCAAGCCUGAUCCAGCCAUACCGCGUGGGUGAAGAAGGCCUUCGGGUUGUAAAGCCCUUUUGUUGGGAAAGAAAUCCAGCUGGCUAAUACCCGGUUGGGAUGACGGUACCCAAAGAAUAGGCACCGGCUAACUUCGUGCCAGCAGCCGCGGUAA